AGGGACCCAGGGCUAAUGAAGCAAGUCUGCUUCAUAACCAGGUAGCCAGGGUUCCCUCGAAAGAAUCUCCUGUGCAGUGACUGGCUGCUCUGAAGAUCGGCCUGAGGGCCCCCACAGGGGUGCCAAGUGGAAGAGAAACACCAGCCCACGGAGAAAGGCUGCGACAGUGCCUCCGCUAUCAGAACCCAGGUCUCCUGCUUUGAAAUCCAAAUGAGAAAACUUUAGAUGAAUCAACAGAGAAGAACAACAGAUCAACGUGGGGCUAAUAUCAGUAGCAGGGAAGACCAAUUAACAAAUCCCUGCAUUGUGCUGUUUACUCUCCUAUUCCUAAGGUUAAUUAUGCGAUCAAGUAACAGCUUUUGCCUUGAUUACAGGGCCCUCAGGAAAUAAAAGCGUGUUUCCACUUUA